UCGAGGGGCAACAGGUGUAGCAAUACAUGCUGGCGACCGGCGCACGGGUGAGUAACGCGUAUGCAACCUGCCUGUAACUGGAGCAUAGCACAGAGAAAUCUGUAUUAAUAUUCCAUAUGACCCCGUAUCGGCAUCGAUACGAGGUAAAAGCUCCGGCGGUUACAGAUGGGCAUGCGUGACAUUAGCUAGUUGGUGAGGUAACGGCUCACCAAGGCUACGAUGUCUAGGGGUUCUGAAAGGAUGAUCCCCCACACUGGUACUGAGACACGGACCAGACUCCUACGGGAGGCAGCAGUGAGGAAUAUUGGUCAAUGGGUGCAAACCUGAACCAGCCAUGCCGCGUGAAGGAUGAAGGCUCUAGUGGUUGUAAACUUCUUUUGUACCAGAAAAACCCCAAGGAUGCGUCCUUGGCUGAUUGUAUGGUAUGAAUAAGCAUCGGCUAACUCCGUGCCAGCAGCCGCGGUAAUACGGGGGAUGCAAGCGUUAUCCGGAUUUAUUAGGUUUAAAGGGUGUGUAGGCGGGAAAUUAAGUCAGUGGUGAAAUCCUACAGCUUAACUGUAGAACUGCCAUUGAUACUGAUUUUCUUGAAUGU
rnacentral:rRNA from 1 species